rnacentral:rRNA from 1 species
ACGAACGCUGGCGGCGUGCUUAACACAUGCCAGUCGAACGGAAAGGCCCUGCUUUUGUGGGGUGCUCGAGUGGCGAACGGGUGAGUAACACGUGAGUAACCUGCCCUUGACUUUGGGAUAACUUCAGGAAACUGGGGCUAAUACCGGAUAGGAGCUCCUGCCGCAUGGUGGGGGUUGGAAAGUUUCGGCGGUUGGGGAUGGACUCGCGGCUUAUCAGCUUGUUGGUGGGGUAGUGGCUUACCAAGGCUUUGACGGGUAGCCGGCCUGAGAGGGUGACCGGCCACAUUGGGACUGAGAUACGGCCCAGACUGCUACGGGAGGCAGCAGUGGGGAAUAUUGCACAAUGGGCGGAAGCCUGAUGCAGCAACGCCGCGUGCGGGAUGACGGCCUUCAGGUUGUAAACCGCUUUCGCCUGUGACGAAGCGUGAGUGACGGUAAUGGGUAAAGAAGCACCGGCUAACUACGUG